rnacentral:rRNA from 1 species
AACGUAGGAGGCAAGCGUUAUCCGGAAUUACUGGGCGUAAAGCGCACGUAGGCGGAUUGUUAAGUUAGGGGUGAAAUCCCAGGGCUCAACCCUGGAACUGCCUUUAAUACUGGCAAUCUCGAGUCCGAGAGAGGUGAGUGGAAUUCCGAGUGUAGAGGUGAAAUUCGUAGAUAUUCGGAGGAACACCAGUGGCGAAGGCGGCUCACUGGCUCGGUACUGACGCUGAGGUGCGAAAGCGUGGGGAGCAAACAGG